rnacentral:rRNA from 1 species
GACGAACGCUGGCGGCGUGCCUAAUACAUGCAAGUAGAACGCUGAAGGAGGAGCUUGCUCUUCUGGAUGAGUUGCGAACGGGUGAGUAACGCGUAGGUAACCUGCCUGGUAGCGGGGGAUAACUAUUGGAAACGAUAGCUAAUACCGCAUAACAGUAGAUUUUGCAUGACAUUUGCUUAAAAGGUGCAAUUGCACCACUACCAGAUGGACCUGCGUUGUAUUAGCUAGUUGGUGGGGUAACGGCUCACCAAGGCGACGAUACAUAGCCGACCUGAGAGGGUGAUCGGCCACACUGGGACUGAGACACGGCCCAGACUCCUACGGGAGGCAGCAGUAGGGAAUCUUCGGCAAUGGACGGAAGUCUGACCGAGCAACGCCGCGUGAGUGAAGAAGGUUUUCGGAUCGUAAAGCUCUGUUGUAAGAGAAGAACGAGUGUGAGAGUGGAAAGUUCACACUGUGACGGUAUCUUACCAGAAAGGGACGGCUAACUACGUG